rnacentral:misc_RNA from 1 species
GGCUCAUCAAAUUACCAUUUCUAGGAGGCAAGGUUUCGGAUUUGUUUCUCUUAUGUAACAUCAUAAACCAUUGACGAAUCCAAAAACAAAAAUCAAGGGCAGUAACAAUAAUUAAUUAACCCUUAUUAAUUAUUCAAAGCAGGUGAGUUGCACUAAUUGUGUUUGAUGGUGAAAGUCCAUAAGCCACAAAUGCAAAGCUCUGCAAUUUUUUAACCAAUUCGGUAAGGAAACUAACGCAUACCCGCGUUUUGACAGAAUUAAAGGACCAGA